rnacentral:rRNA from 1 species
UUUGCGUCGAAGGUAUACCGGUAAGGAGUGCUGGAGCGAAUAGAAGUGAGCAUGCAGGCAUGAGUAGCGAUAAUUAAUGUGAGAAUCAUUAACGCCGUAAACCCAAGGUUUCCUACGCGAUGCUCGUCAUCGUAGGGUUAGUCGGGUCCUAAGUCGAGUCCGAAAGGGGUAGACGAUGGCAAAUUGGUUAAUAUUCCAAUACCAACAUUAGUGUGCGAUGGAAGGACGCUUAGGGCUAAGGGGGCUAGCGGAUGGAAGUGCUAGUCUAAGGUCGUAGGAGGUUGUACAGGCAAAUCCGUAUAACAAUACUCCGAGAACUGAAAGGCUUUUUGAAGUCUUCGGAUGGAUAGAAGAACCCCUGAUGCCGUCGAGCCAAGAAAAGUUUCUAAGUUUAGCUAAUGUUGCCCGUACCGUAAACCGACACAGGUGGGUGGGAUGAGUAUUCUAAGGCGCGUGGAAGAACUCUCUUUAAGGAACUCUGCAAAAUAGCACCGUAUCUUCGGUAUAAGGUGUGGUUAGCUUCGUACUAGGAUUUACUCCGAAAGCGAAGAAACUUACAACAAAGAGUCCCUCCCGACUGUUUACCAAAAACACAGCACUCUGCUAACUCGUAAGAGGAUGUAUAGGGUGUGACGCCUGCCCGGUGCUCGAAGGUUAAUUGAUGGGGUUAGCAUUAGCGAAGCUCUUGAUCGAAGCCCGAGUAAACGGCGGCCGUAACUAUAACGGUCCUAAGGUAGCGAAAUUCCUUGUCGGUUAAAUACCGACCUGCAUGAAUGGCGUAACGAGAUGGGAGCUGUCUCAAAGAGGGAUCCAGUGAAAUUGUAGUGGAGGUGAAAAUUCCUCCUACCCGCGGCAAGACGGAAAGACCCCGUGGACCUUUACUACAGCUUGACACUGCUACUUGGAUAAGAAUGUGCAGGAUAGGUGGGAGGCUUUGAGUAUAUGACGCCAGUUGUAUAUGAGCCAUUGUUGAGAUACCACUCUUUCUUAUUUGGGUAGCUAACCAGCUUGAGUUAUCCUCAAGUGGGACAAUGUCUGGUGGGUAGUUUGACUGGGGCGGUCGCCUCCCAAAUAAUAACGGAGGCUUACAAAGGUUGGCUCAGAACGGUUGGAAAUCGUUCGUAGAGUAUAAAGGUAUAAGCCAGCUUAACUGCAAGACAUACAAGUCAAGCAGAGACGAAAGUCGGUCUUAGUGAUCCGGUGGUUCUGUGUGGAAGGGCCAUCGCUCAAAGGAUAAAAGGUACCCCGGGGAUAACAGGCUGAUCUCCCCCAAGAGCUCACAUCGACGGGGAGGUUUGGCACCUCGAUGUCGGCUCAUCGCAUCCUGGGGCUGGAGCAGGUCCCAAGGGUAUGGCUGUUCGCCAUUUAAAGCGGUACGCGAGCUGGGUUCAGAACGUCGUGAGACAGUUCGGUCCCUAUCUGCCGUGGGCGUAAGAAGAUUGAAGAGAUUUGACCCUAGUACGAGAGGACCGGGUUGAACAAACCACUGGUGUAGCUGUUGUUCUGCCAAGAGCAUCGCAGCGUAGCUAAGUUUGGAAAGGAUAAACGCUGAAAGCAUCUAAGCGUGAAGCCAACUCUAAGAUGAAUCUUCUCUAAGCUCUCUAGAAGACUACUAGUUUGAUAGGCUGGGUGUGUAAUGGAUGAAAGUCCUUUAGCUGACCAGUACUAAUAGAGCGUUUGGCUUAUCUUU